rnacentral:rRNA from 1 species
CAGCCGUAAACGAUGUGCGUUAGGUGUAUCGACGACCACGAGUUGUCGAGGUGCCGAAGGGAAACCGUGAAACGUACCGCCUGGGAAGUACGGUCGCAAGGCUGAAACUUAAAGGAAUUGGCGGGGGAGCACCACAACAGGUGGAGCCUGCGGUUUAAUUGGACUCAACGCCGGGAAUCUCACCGGAUAGGACAGCGGAAUGAUUGCCGGGCUGAAGACUCUGCAUGACUAACUGAGAGGUGGUGCAUGGCGUCAGUGACU